rnacentral:snRNA from 1 species
CAAAGUGUAGUAUCUGUCUUAUCAGCUUAAUAUCUGAUACGUGGCUCAUUGAGUCACUACGAUAUUAAACUGAUUUUUGGACAUAGGCGAGAUGCCCGGGGNUUGCUCCGCUCUCGNCACGGUNCGC